UCACCCCUCAAGCCUGGCUUGGUGUUGGACGUCCGGUCGCCUCACCGCGACCCGUCCCAAAGACAAUGACGGCGUCCAGAGGACCCUCGGUACAUUGAGCUUUAACCGGCACGUACUCGAGUUAAGGGACUCUGGGCCCGGUCACACCUAUUACUUUUACAA
rnacentral:misc_RNA from 1 species